GAAGGUAGAGCUCCGAGGUAGAGCGCGUGAUUAGCAUGCAUGAGGUCCUGGGUUCAAUGCCCAGCACCUUCG
rnacentral:tRNA from 1 species